UCCCCUCCAUGUCUCUGCCUCAGACCAAAACUCUGCCAUUCUCAACCGCACAGAGCCAGAACCUCACCUCCAUCCUUCAUGCCUGUUCCAAAAUCACAUAGCCGCCAUGAUCAGAGGUCGCACCUCCAUUUCCGCGAACGGCGAUCACAGCCAUGGGAGUGGGGAAACCAACCACGAUCUCCAACAACCCCCAAACUUGGAUUAAAAACCCUAAUCCAGGAAUUUGCGACUCCGAUUCACCCAUGGCGUGUCUGCAGAGGGUUGGAUCAGAAGCUAUGAACAAAAAGAUGAACGGAGAUCCUCAGAUAUACCGGAAAAGAAAGCGGAGGUCCCAAAAUCCAUGGAUCCGGGAAAGUAAAGGUAACUUUGAUCAGAAAUGGCUAUCCUCUGGUCAAAAGUGCACAGAAGGCCGCUGGCUUUUCCAGAACUGAAGAGACAAAAGGAUCCCGAGGGCAAACUCAUGGGCUUUUUGUAUGCUCGGAUCAGAAGGUCCCCAAACACACAGAUCAUCCAAAAUAAAGUGCCAUGCUUGCAUAAAAUUAGACACAACGAAUAUAUACUGGAUCUGCAAUGUGGACCCUCUGCAUUUGGGCUCCCGAAUUUGGAUAAUAUAUAGGAUUCGAAAUGAAUGUCUAUUAAUUUAUGGGGUGGGAGUGAGAUGAGUGGAGUGAAUGGGGGUCUAAAUGCAAAAGCUUCAUCAGAUAUCCCCUGGUUAAGAAGAUAUGGUACCUUGGAGAAACCGAACAAAAAAACGAAAAGCACAGAUGAUGUCUCGGUCUGGUGCGGUCCAAAUGGUCCCCCAACACACACAUUGAUCCAUGAUUCCAUAACACAUCUCGACUUCACUCAUGAGUCAUGAUGCAGCCUUCUCACUCCUCGAUCUGGGUCCAUUCACAAAAGAGAGUUCGAAGAUGGUAUCUGGAUCCUUUCACAAAAGACAGUUCCAUUGCUGGCAAGAUAGCGGGUUUUUAGGAUGCCGUGAUUGGUCGUAUAGUAGCACAUGGCAGGGUUCAUGCCUAUGGAGUCCAAACUGCAACAACGCAUGCACAAAAGAAGGUGCGACUACUGGAGCUUGCGUACUUUUCAAA